CAGUCGCGCGGGAAUACGUAGGGUGCGAGCGUUAAUCGGAAUUACUGGGCGUAAAGCGUGCGCAGGCGGUUCGUUAAGACAGAUGUGAAAUCCCCGGGCUUAACCUGGGAACUGCGCUUGUGACUGCACAGCUAGAGUAUGGCAGAGGGGGGUGGAAUUCCACGUGUAGCAGUGAAAUGCGUAGAGAUGUGGAGGAACACCGAUGGCGAAGGCAGCCCCCUGGGCCAAUACUGACGCUCAUGCACGAAAGCGUGGGGAGCAAACAGGAUUAGAUACCCCUGUAGUCCCUGUCUCUUAUACA
rnacentral:rRNA from 1 species